GAAGUAUCAGAAGCAAAAAAGUAAAUGUAUGAUUUGUGCAUCCUCAACCUUGGCAAAAUAAACCUCUCUCAGUUGAGACCUGCUUCAGUCACUUUUUGGUUUACAGGCUUUCAAAAGUAGCAACAUUAUAUUUACAUUUUUCUUUGCUGGAAGAGUAGUUUUUUGAAGGCUGACUGCACUUUGAAUUCAUGGCAAUGCUACAUUUUUUAAAAGUGGUGUCUGUGAGUUUUGUUUCUUUGAUUUUCAUCAAGCUAGAACAGAAAUUUAGAGGAAUUUUGAAUUUAUGUCCUUGUUACUC
rnacentral:lncRNA from 1 species